rnacentral:misc_RNA from 1 species
AACAUAUUCAAGCUUCUUUAAUCUUUUUGCUUGGUCUUGAGGGAUGAGCAAGACGAAAUUGAACUUUUUUAAAUUCUUGUUCUAUCUUGCUCACCCAUCGAAUUUCAGUGGCGGAUUUAACCAUAGUUGGCCCGGUGUGAUACGUUUUUCAUGUCACUGGUCCAGCUUGUGGCAACCUCCUGUCAAUAGAAACUCCCCUCGAAUAUUAUUAUU